UCAAGCUACAACUACAAUCAGCAUCCCUGCAACUUGAGCAUAUAUGUAAAGAGAUCCAGUCCAAAUUGGAUGUAAGAAGGUUGAAAGGAUAAAUAUGUUCAAAAAAGAAGGUGAAUUAUGUUUCUUUAAUUUAUCUUGCACAAAUUAAAACCUAUAAGCAUCUAAGGUCCCUACUCCGUCAUUCAUUUUUUUUUGAAAACAUUAUCAUUCAGAAAUUAAUCUGUCCGGUCAAAUUGGAUCCACAUAAUAAGCACAUAAACAGUACAACCACAUGAGCUGAGAGAAGGAAAUCACCUGUCUUUAUACAAUUAUAUAAGCAGGCUUACCAAACUGUUGCAAAAUGCAAAUUACCGACCAUUCACAUAACCUUCACAUGGGCUGAACGAUCAGUUUUAGUUAUGCAAUGAAUAUGCCAGUGGGGUUUAAUUAAUCAUCCCAAUCAGUUAUAAAAAUAAAGCAUUUAACGACCUUCUGGCACAGUGAGACUCAUAUCAUAUAUAGACAACUCCUUGUUGCCAACUGCCUUUCCAGGUUGGUAGGGGUCCCUAACUGCAAAAUAUACAGGUUGACUUGGAGUUGGAAGUGUCGUCGUUUUGUUCUCCAGCAUGGACACAACCGCCGACAUGAGUGGCCUGAAGCUCGGACUGUCUUGAACACACAAGAGUCCUAUAUGUACACAUUGUGAAACUUCAUCAAGGGAGCAAUUCUCCAUGACUGAUGAGUCCACCAAAUCUUCUAUUUUCCCUUCUUUCCACAUGUUCCAUGCCUGAAACAUGACACAAUCUCAUAUCAGGAUCGUUUUUAUCAUGUGGACAGUUCUGAAUUAUUAUGAGAGUGUGCCAGUCCUUACAUAUGCUCUAAGAUUAGGAAAAUCCAUGUGAAGAUGUGGUGAGCUGAUCUUCAAACCACUUACAAUCUCCAGCAUUAAAACACCAAAGCUGUAAGUGUCAGACUUGACUGAAAAGGCACCUUCCAUUGCAUAUUCAGGAGACAUGUAACCACUGUGCAAAUGAUUUCACAAAAAAAAGUUUGCAUAUAUGUGAAACUUCAAACAAAAUUAGUUCAAUAUAUAUGAAGAGUUGGCAAUGCCGGUGUUACUUACUAUGUGCCUACAACUCGGUUAGUAUUUGCAUGGAGCUGGUCGCUACUGAAUAUUCUAGCCAUGCCAAAAUCUGAUAUUUUUGGGCUCAUGUCCUUAUCUAACAAGAUGUUGCUUGCUUUGAGAUCCCUAUGGAUUAUUGUUAAUCUCGAGUCUUGAUGAAGAUACAUAAUUCCUCUAGCUACCCCGUGGAUUAUCUUGAACCUUGUUGGCCACUGAAGCGUUGACUUUCUUGCAGAAUCUAAUAUGAAUAAAAUGAAACAAGGCAUACAUAUCAGAAGGCAUAUGCAUGUAUAUUUGUUGAUUUUGUUAACUAAAUGGAAAGUUUUAAAACUCAAUGUACCAAAGAGGAAGUAAUCUAAGCUUUUGUUCGGCAAGUACUCAUAAACUAACAGCUUCUCAUCUUCAUGAACACAGCAACCAAGAAGCUUAACUAGGUUCUUGUGCUGCAACUUUGCAAUCAAGAUUACUUCAUUCCUGAACUCUUCGGCACCUUGCCCAGAACUCUUGCUCAGUCUCUUGAUGGCUACUUCUUUGGUUCCUUCCAACAUUCCCUAGAUGAUAUCAUCAUUCAAAAAUCAUAUAUUUUUUGAGUAAUAUAAAUUUCAAGGUGAAGCUUUUUACUAGUACCUUGUAUACUUUGCCAAAACCCCCUUUCCCAAGUAUAUUACAGUCAGAGAAAUUGUCUGUUGCUGUGACAAUGUUUUCAAAGGUAAUAAAUGGGAACUCUAUAUUCUUUCCCCCAGCUUCAUCCGUAGAACUCAAGUAUUCUAGCAUCAUUCUCGUCUGGAUUUUCUUCUUGUGCCAUUUGCCUGUUACAUCAAUGGAUCACUUUAUUUUCCUUGAAAAUUUACACAUCAACACUGCAUUUUCGAAACGAGGGCUCAUUUUCUCUAUACCUCUGAUUUUACAUGCCCAACCAAGAGCACCAAUUGUAAGUAGCAGCAGACAUGCUAUAGCUGAGAGUAAAAUUUUCUGAAAAUUUCUCUUCUUCUGAUCUGUACAUAAGAAAGUAUCUUGUUAGAAUUUAUUGCAUCAAGCAUUCCUUGCAACUGUGUGAGUUUACUUUCACAUUGUUCCCCUGACUGCUCUGCAAAUACUUUACCUCUAAAAUACUUUCCAUUGAGGAAAGCAGCAUUAUAAAUACAUUUAAGUAAACUUAGGCUUACCAAUGGGAGUUGCAAGGGCUUAGAGACGGCACGCUAAGAGAAAGACACAAGCGUACCAGGAGAUUCGCCAAGCCGGAUGUACAAGUUCUCUAAAAAAACACUUGCUUUCUCCAUGUCAAUGAGAUCCUGAGUCCAGACCAAACACCUCGAUGCAUCGCCCGUAGUGCUAGCAGUGCUUAGAGUGGCAUAGGUGUAUGCCAUACAGGUGCAGUUUCUGGCGCACUCAGCUGCACACUGGUCGAAGGUUCUAUUUCUAAUGUGCAAGAACUUGUCAGGAAUCUUCAUGUUAGGCAUGGUCAUGAAAUAGCUCUCUGUUCCGCAUUUCAGCUCUUCCUUUCUCUGGCAUCCUCUAGAGAAGUUGAGACUGUCGACCAGCUCAAAAUGAUCAGGGCACUGGCAUGUCGGCAUUGCCUUAGUGAGAUCGCAGUAGCCGAACGGGCCACAAGAGGCGUAGAGAUCACAUCCAACACUAGGUUCCUCAGAAAUCAGCACCCAGGAUGAUGUGCUAUUUUCCCAGACCAGGAGCCUCAUCUUGCCUGUGUGGUGAAGUGAGAAGUGCAUGUAGGGAGAACCGGCUAAGACUGUGAACGUAUAGUAGAUCUCAUCCCCUGUGUCGACCAUCAUCCAUUGGUAUGUGACUGAGGUAUUGUUGGCCUGGUACGUGCCGCCGGAUGCUGGGACAUCAUUAAAAAAAGAAGAACGAUAGUACGGCAAUGUCCCAUUCCAAAUGAACACCUGAACGUUUGAGGAGGCCGGAUCCAUGCCAGAAGAGAUGUCCCCGGUUGAUGGAUCGUCAGGGCUCUUCCAGGCAAAGAGGCCCGUAGCCGGUUGUGACCUGUAUCUUAUCAUACUCCUCAUGGUUGGAAGCACUGUAUCAGUCGGGUGAUCGAAGCUUUGCCAUACGUCCGUGCCGUUUGGCGAUCGAAGGACAAAGUUCCCUGAGUUGAGCAGCACUGCAAAAGCUCCAGCGCCUCCACUUGUGCUACUCGUUGCCAUCCAAAAGAUGUGGCCUUGGGAGUCUGACAGCACCAGUUCUGAAUCGUUUGUGACGGCGAGCUUCACUGAUGUAGCUGGGGUGGUGACUGGGCUGUCACGGUUGGCGAUCCACACCACCGUGCGCUCCCGCUCUGGGACAUUGUUGUACCAAAUCCCGAUGUACAGCUUGUUGCUUGAACUGGUAGGAGAAAAGAAGCCAAGAGCGAAGUCCCCGCCGGCCGAGAUGAGCGUCUCUUUGGGGAAGAGCGGCUUUGUAUGUGUCAGCUGAUCGUCGGAUUGGCAGAGCGAACUCAAGACUACGAGGAGGAUGAAGAUGGGAACAUACAUCAUAUCUGUCUAUUGAUCUUUCAGGGCUUCUCUUGUUCUCUGGCCUAUGAUAUGAAGCAUGGAAUGGAACUCGCGGUGCAGAUGGAAAAUGGAGGUAUGGAAUGGAACUCUGCAGUAAUGAGUGGACCUGCCGAUGCUGCUUGAUCUGUCCGUCAAAUCGAAAGCGUGCAGUGGUUUUCAUCACAUUAAUGGGUGGGACAAACGUAGAUAGGCAGGGUGAUGGCAAAGUCUGCAAUAAUUCACUGACAGAUGAAGGGAAACGAAGACCUUGGCUAACCAAGAACCGAUGAACAGCAGUGUGUCGGUCACACACCGUGGCCCCACAGAUAGAUUGACUUCGUGUGUAUCCGGAGCCAGAGCCAGCAACGUGGCCUGGAUGAGUCGACUCCUGAGUUCUGACUGCCGUCUGCAGAUGGCGUUGUUGAGCUUGCAUGCGUGCCCGGCACUUCAUUCCGGCACAACCCACGAGCCAGUUAGGUUGGGGAGGCGAGGCUUUGGAUGCAAAUCUCUGCCGUAUUUUGCAGAGGUGAAGCUAUAUCAAAUUUAAGAGAAAUUGGUUUGAUGUAUGCAGGCAUAUCUUUUUUUAAUUUUUACCAUGAACAUACGCAUAUGGUGAAUGUCCCAAAAAAACACCUGAGCUGAAGGAUAAGCAUAUGCGUAUGCUCAUGGUAAAAUUCUAGAGCAUAUGCAUGAAUGUCCCCAAAAAAAAAACACCUGAUAGUUAUCUGCAGAAAAAACACCUGAUAGAUGUCUAUUGCACGGCCAUACAACAGAGCAAUAAACUAUCUAUAUGCUUCACUUUUUCAUUUGUGAUCAGUGCAUACUGCAUACACUUUCUAACUAUAGUUUUUUUGUGCUACAUAGUUGAAGAUGAGCAGGGCAUCAAUCAAAAUCAUCCCAGAGUGCUACAGGUCCAUGCACCUUUUGCUAGAUUGUCCUUUCAUAGUAUUUUACUUCAUCAGAUAUGCAUUGAUAAGUUAAAAUGUUUAGCAUGAUAGAUUGUAUCUCUCUGCAUUGUGGUGGCUUGGUUGGGCAGACUAGUGAUGGAUCUUGAUUCUAAUUUCUUCAAGAGGAAGGAUGCUAGGGGUAGCAUGUUGCUUGCUUACUCCAUGUCAACAGCAAGCAGAUCGAAGUUGUUCCUGUGGAUGCUACAAGCAACACUUUUGGAUGCAUGCUACUUUGCUUUGCAUUUUGUAGCAGAGGAUAAAGUUGCAAGUGAACUAGGUUCCUGAACCCAAAACAUGUGGUUGCAACAGUAGACAUUUGAUCUAUGAGAGCUUUGACAAGCCAAACUUGUUGUUGCCUACUUAUUACGAUUUGAAAGGUGACAAGUAGACUCAUUAUUGUGACCGAUUAUUGGCGCUAAUGGAAAUAUGACCUACGCUUUGGCUAUUUCUGUGUAUGAUGGAGUAUAAGUAGUGAGCUACUACUCUCUCCGUCCCAUGAUAUAAGACAUAACUAUUUUGUGUUCUUGUCAUAUAAUAUAGAUACAGUGACAUAGAAAGAAUUAAAUAUAUUUAUUGGUCUUUAAACCAGAAAUAAUUACGUCU
rnacentral:lncRNA from 1 species